UUGGGCAGGAGCGCGAAUGGUUCGACUUUUUAAUCCCACACGCAUCCUCUCUCCUUCUUUCCACCCACCUGCUAGGGUUUCCGUCGUUCCGGCCACCGCUGCCGCCGCCGGCGCCCGACGCCGCCACCAUCCCGGCUCAAAGCGGCGACCCAAGGAGGAGCUCCGGACUCGGCUGGAGUAGCUCGAGCAGCGGUGGUGGUCCACAACGCCAUCAACGUCUUCCUCGGCAGAGCAACGUAGGCCGUACAGACGUCCGGCUCCGUCCUGCUCUAGCGGCGCCGCCUGUCCACCCGACGAACAAAAGAGGAUUAAGGAGGAGAUGCACGACGGAGGUGCACACGCUCUUCCCUGUGGGACGACGGUGGUGUUCUUGCUCUAACCAAAUUCCACCCCCUCGAUCCCAAGUCAGAUUCAAGUUCGCUUUUCAUCAGUCUGAUGACAAAUAUUCCUGUUUGGUUGACGGUGGUGAUCAAGGGGUGGAAUUAGUUCAUGCGUACAAUUUAUUAGCACAGCGCCACACCAGAGUACUUAUGGCGACGAUGAUGACGAAGCAAGCUGACUUCUACUUCCGGCAUACUGUUGGCUGAUGCUUUGUACAGCAGCAAUGCGUACUCGACCUCCGAUUCGAAUUUUGAUCGUUGCACAGAGCUGGCUCCAAUAACUUGGACACUCACGAACACAAUAGCCUCUGCCGAUCGAUUUUGUGGCCGGCCAUAAACGCUACGGAUACAAACAAAAUCAAUUGGACACAAUAGCCUCUGCCACAAGUGCUGGCUGUUUGCUUUAUUACUAAAUUCAUUCAUGGUAUGCAGGGUACAUGCAUAUAUGAAUCCAUACUUGGAUGGUUGGACUGUUGACAGAAUAGGUUCGUAUGUGAAAAUAACAUUAAGCAUUAGAGCAUUAUACUUAUUCAGAUUUGGUCAGAACAUACAUAUACCAGCUAGGCCAAUUGCUUUUUUCAUGCUACUGUUAGCAUGCACUGAUGUAGCAAUAUUCUAAAGGGAUGUAAGAAGUGUCUUGCUUGACAUCCUCUUUUUGUUACAAAGAAAAGUGGUUAUUGAUGUAAACUUGGCAUCAAGACUAUUUAAGUAUAUUUAGUUCAGGGGAUGUUAAAUAUGUUGCUAUUUGUGAUUUAAUCAUUUAAGUAUCUUUUUUGCUAAGGUUCUCUUUGUGGUUUUUCAUGUAGCAAUGGCAUGGUUCAUUAAAUCUUUGGCACACAAUGAAGUGUUUAGGAAACUCGAUCCAGUAAAGCGGAGUGUUAAUUUAUCUAAAUACGUCCAGUAAGUUCAUGAUGUAGCAAAACUUACAUGGUAAUGCCCAAUCUUUUGCAUUGCAUAUGUUAGAUAAGGAGACUCACGUAAUAUGAAGGAAAUUACACCAUAAAGUUUGUCAUGAUAGUGUACUUUAUCAGCAUUAUUUUCAUAUAUACAUUAUUAUAUGCUAGACAUUUUUGUUCAGCUAACUGAGAAAAACAUCAACUGAGAAGACUACAUAACUCAAUAGUUAAUCCAGUGUUUAUCUAACAGAAAAAAUAGGCCACCUGUAGAAGUAGACUCGUUACAAAAUCUUUCCAAUAAUCUGACAAGUACAUCAUGUAUCUAACUCGGCCAAGUAAAUUACACACUCAUAUCUUGGGUUUUAGGUACAUUUAUGUUUAAAAUCGAGGCAACAAUAGCUAAACCAGUAUUUAAUCUCUUUUAUCAAAUUGUGCAGAAGCAUUCUAUAUAGGUUUAUCUGUACCAUAGCUGAUAUAUUAAAGUGAGUAGCUUGAACUACAUCACUUGUAAAGACUCCCUAAAUUAUAGACAUAUCCAAAACAAACUGCAGUACUCCUUCCUUCCCUAUAGUAUUUUAUAAGUAUAUAGUAUCAUAAAUGCUUCUUACUAUUUUGGUUACCGAUUUAAUCAAUUCGUUUGAUGUGCUUUAGUAAUAGCUGAAAGUUUUGGUGUCACCUCUAUUGUAAGGGGAGAAAGAACUAUAGGUCAAAGCCUCCUCAUAUCUGAUGCUGAUAUAUUUAGCUUUAGAAUUAUGGAUUUAGAUGUCUUCCUGAUUCCCCUCCUCUUUCAUUGCCCUACUUUUAGAGCUUCUCUUCUUUGUUUGUGCAGAUUUUGUUUCUCUAUGUCUUCCUGAUUCCCCCCUAUUUCAGUGCUCUACUUUUAGAGCUUCUCUUCUUUGUUUGUGCAGAUUUUGUUUCUCUAUGCCUACAAGACGAUCGCAGAAAAUCCAAGAAGAUUGACACGAGUGACCCCGGACCCGGAGGCUGUACCAAUCAUGUUUAUAGCACUACAAACUUGGAAUACGUCCAGUAUUUAUUAUCUUGGUAAUUCACUGCAUAUGAAGAAAGGACAACCGUUCAUGGACCCAUCCCAAGAGGUAUCGAUCUGCAGAAACUUACAUCUAGGUGUUUGUCCUGAACAUAUAUGCAUAGGAGGUGAUGGUUACAUUUAAGGUAGAGAGAUUCUUAGAGCUAUGCACUUGUUCACAAAAGCUGAGAAAAGUCAGGCGAUAUUCUCUAUCUUGUCACAGCUGUGAUGAUUUUGCUUAGGAAUUUUUUGUUAAUUGACAUACAUUUUUGUUAAUUCGUAGGCACUUUUGUAUGUCGUUCAUUAUGAUAAUUUUGCUUAGGAAGUUUGGAAUGAAAGUUCUGGCACUUUCAAUAUUCACUGUAUUCGUAAUCGGAAAGUAUUUAGUCUACACGUACUGUUCAUGUUCAUGGUGAUACUAUAUUGUAAAUAUUAGUGCUUAGUUCAUGUCCUUGAUGAACUUUUUUGAAUUUUUGCUCCUGGUGGUGGUCGAGCUCAUCUGGUGGUGGUUGUUGCCGCUCCUUCUCUCCACGGCGUAGACCUUGUCGUCAAGCUCAUCUUCUAUCCUAAGGUGAUGAUCUUUCUGCAAGUUGCUGCCUGGGUUUAUAGUCCCGUUCGUUUCUUUACAAGACACAGAUGACAGAAAUGCCGCAAUGGGACCAGAGUUCAAAUUAGGAUGAAGAGGUGUUCUUCCAUGGUGGCCAAAGGUGAGGCGCUUCUCCGGCCAGAUCCAUGGCCACCAUGUUGCCAUCGACGUCCACCGUCCUUGACAGAUCGAUCGAGUGUGCAUCACUGAGCUGCAUGGCUUCCGCCAUCACUGAGCUGCAUGGCUUCCCCAUCUCCCAGUUAUCAGAGGAUGUCAUGUAACCUUUAAGAAUACAUUCUCUAAGCGUGUAGAUUUUGCACAUCUAUAUCUUAAAGUUUUACA